GAUCAGAUAACAUAAAUGGUUAAUGUAUCGGACUGCAAAUCUGAAUAUGAGCGUUCAAUUCGCUCUCUGAUCU